GGAUGUUGCAUCUUUCCAGCAUAGACAGUACAAUUAUCCACCUGCACAAAGGUUUUCUGGACCAGGGUCCUCCACUGACCAGUCUAACUAAAAACAUAGGGACUGUUCCCUUCAACAGGUGGCAAAGAACAGUAGUGACAUGGCCUGGGCGAAAAUCCACUUCAGCAGGCUCGGGGUCAUGCCAACAGAGAGCCAGUGUCCCGCCUGGGCUAAGUGGAGAUGGGACAGGUCCCCAUGUCAGCAGCCCAGGACUGACGCCUCACUCCACACCACCUGCGGUCUGCACCUGCUUCAUUUAACCUUCCUGGCAAACCUCAGCAUCCAUUUGCAGGGAGGGGGCAGAGCCUGUCCGAGCCUGAAGCCAGGCCGGUCCUUCCCCUGCCUCCCCGGGCUGAGCGCUGGGCUAGGGUUCGAUGCGGUUGGGCAGGUGACAGCGUGGGAGGCACGGGACUGGGGCUCCCACAGGGCUGCGUUGCAGGCACCCUCCGCCGAAGGGCUGGCUCGGCCACCUCCGGCAAGCUAGCCGGGUCCCAUGACUGCACCUUGGCCGGGCUCGGGGGGUCGCCCAAGGACCCCAAGAUCCUCCCAGGCGGCGGCCGGGGUAAAAUGACCGAAAAUGGAGGAUAAUUUAAACAUCCCCCAAAUUCAUGAAGAAAAGGUUUAAACUGAACUUACCGGACAUUCUGACCUGAAAGAAGAAGCAACUUUUAUAACAGCUUAUGUUGCAGCAGAAGAAUCAAUCACCUGGGCUCCUAGAUGCUGGGGGGAAAGGGAACAAAAAAUAAGACUUUUAAAAUAUAAAAAAAGAAUACCCAAGACCAUUGUGAAAAUUCCAGGUGGAGACAAACAAUAUUAAUGUUUUAUACCUACAGAUAUAAGUUUGAGUUUUUCUCCCCUAAUGCCAAGUAUUUAAAACCUCUAGAAACCAAUGAUUUGACAAUCAAUGAUUGCGCGAUACUUUCAAUUUGAAUAUUCAAAGGCUUAACAAAAUGGUCUAUCUUUUUGUGAAACCCAGCACAUCUCCAUGUAGCAGAGGGUCUUGGGGAAUAAGAUUUGGUGGGGGGGCCUUCCCCACUCCUUGCUUUUGGGACAUUUUGAACUUUUUAUCCACCUUUCCACAAACAAAGCAGAUGCCCCGAAACCUGGUCAGUAUUUUCAUCUCAGAUACACACACUUGGCCCCAAUUCUCUCAUAUUUCACUUGCCAGCUGCAAAGGACUUUCUGCAAGGGCACAGGGUGAUUUUUGCACAAUUUUUCACAUUUUAAGGCUAAAUUUGAGGAUUUUGGAGCAAAAUGGCAGUUGGUGGGCGUGGCAUAAUAGAGACUCUGUCUGGGGCACCAGAAUAGCUAUAGGUGACCAAAGUGAGCUUUUAUUUCAUUCUGUUCCCCUCCCUCAUCCUCCGUUUGUGCCCUUCAUUGGAUUUUAUUUGUAUUUUUCCCAGUUCAUGAUCUUCACACCUAUUCCAUAAAGUGGCCUCUUUCAGAUUAGAUUCCCCCAAAUUGACCUGUGUGGGGAUCCUUGCAUGGACAGCCAAUUUAGCUCUAGCAAGGGUAGCUUGACUUGUUUUUGGCCAGCGUUGGACAAUCAGUAUAGAAUCCCAAUUUUUUUACACUGUAUGUAAACAUUCCCUAUGCCCUGCCGUUAUUACCCUCCACCAGGAAUAGCUGCUUAAAGCAGAAAGCAGGGUAGGCUGUUAAUCAUCUACCAGCAGUUUAAUUUAGCUAUUGUUACUCUUUUUCUUCUUAAGUUCAACAAAUAUACUUGAUUUGUGUUAGGGAGUGGCACCGAGGUGGUCUCAGAAAUGUCCUUAUUCCAGCCCUGAAACAUUUUCAUGCAAAAAGUGAUUACUUUUGUUGGGGCAAAUACUGGAGCAGAAUAACAGGAAAGAAAGCCCCUACUUUGUUAUAAGUAUAAAACAGAACUCUAAUAAUGUCCCCAUAUUAAUAAUUCUGUUUUAUAUAUGCUUUUCACCAUGAUGUACACUCAUCAAUUUCGCUGUUGGUGAAUAAAACAACAACAAUACGA